rnacentral:lncRNA from 1 species
ACAGUUUAACUGCAGGUGGGCGAUUCUGGGAGACUCAGGCUCAGGACCCAGUCUUUCAUGUGACUGGAGGGCCAUCUUGUUCCAGAAGUUUCUUGGAUCACCCUUCUGGAGAGAAACCUCCCAGAAGGCCCACUAUGGGCAGCUGCGUCAAACUAGGAUUCUCCAGCUAGAUCUCUCCAGCAUCCCUUCCUGGAGCUG